UUCAUCAGUUGCCUCAUACUUUGGAUGGCUUCCAGCCGUGAGAGCGUUCCUCACGUCUUCGUAAUUCCUCUUCCAACACAAGGUCAUGUAUCUCCACUCAUGCAUCUCUCCCAAGCUCUCGCCUCGAGAGGCUUCGUCAUUACUUUUAUCAACACAGAGGCCAAUCAGGAGUGUAUGAAGAACACCUUGGAGGACGGCCAUGGCCUAGACAUUCGUUUUGAGACCGUUCCGGGCAUCCAAGGAACUGGUAUUGACUUAUCUCAUGACGAAGGCCGGCUCAUCUUCACUCAAGGCUUGAUCAACAUGGAAGGGCCAGUCGAGAAGCUGCUCAAGGACAAGCUAGUCAGCGCAGAUCCCCCAAUAUCGUGCUUGAUCUCCGACAUGCUCUUCAGGUGGCCGGAAGAUGUUGCCAGGAGAAUUGGAGUUCCAAGUUUUAUCUUCUGGUGCGCAAGUGCCUCUUGUAUUCUGCUCGAGUGCUCCGUUCCUCAGAUGUUCGAGAAGGGAGACAUACCUGUCAGAGAUCUCUCGAUCGACAAGUCAAUCACGUAUGUCCGUGGCUUGUCUCCACUGCCGCUAUGGGGCCUUCCUUGCGAACUAUCUUUCAGCGACGAUCCUGGUUUUACUCGCAGGUACAACAGAAUAAACCACGUCGCGACAGUGUCGGGGGUUUUGGUAAACUCUUUCGAGGAACUCGAGGGCAGUGGUGCAUUCCAGGCGCUGAGAGAGAUCAAUCCAAACACUGUAGCUGUGGGACCAGUGUUCCUUUCUUCGCUAGCAGACAACGCGAGCCUCUGGAAGGAAGACACAGAAUGCCUGACAUGGCUCAACGAGCAGAAGCCACAGUCGGUUCUCUACAUAUCCUUCGGCAGCCUCGGGACGCUCGACUUGGAACAGCUUAAAGAAAUACUAGCAGGAUUGGAGGAGCUCCAGAGGCCGUUUAUAUUAGCCAUUCGUCCCAAGUCGGUCCCAGGCAUGGAGCCCGAGUUCCUGGAGGCUUUCAAGGAGAGAGUGAUCAGCUUUGGACUGGUUGUGAGCUGGGCUCCUCAGCUGAAAAUCCUCCGGCAUCCUUCAACAGGUGGAUACUUGAGUCACUGCGGCUGGAACUCUAUUCUCGAGAGCGUAUCUUCGGCGGUGCCAAUCCUUUGCUGGCCGUGCGUUGCCGAGCAGAAUCUCAACUGCAAGCUUAUAGUGGAGGACUGGAAGAUCGGUCUUAAGUUCUCGCGCGUGAGAGAUCCUCGCAAGGUGGUGGCCAGGGACGAGUUUGUGGAGGUGGUGGAGCAACUCAUGGGAGCCGAGAGUGGCGAUUCCUUUAGACGUAAUGUGAAGGAGCUCAGCAAGGCGGCUCAGCGAGCAGCAGUGAAAGGAGGAUCGUCAUAUGAAAGUUUGGACAAGUUCGUCAAAGCUGUGGAAGUUUUAUAAGUGUAUAGGUGGCGUAAUGUUGAAGUAAGAGCUAAUCCAGAAGAGGUAAUGUGAGAAACGGCAGCAUAGUCCCUUCCUUCCAGAGCACUCAAGAACGGUUCUUCCCAUUCCAACCCAAGGCCACAUCACUCCACUCCUCCAUCUCUCCAGAGCGCUGGCGUCGCGAG